GACGAACGCUGGCGGUGUGCUUAACACAUGCAAGUCGAACGGUAAGGCCCUUUCGGGGGUACACGAGUGGCGAACGGGUGAGUAACACGUGAGUAACCUGCCCUCAUCUCUGGGAUAACAGUCGGAAACGGUUGCUAAUACUGGAUAUGAGCUUGCAAGGCAUCUUGUGGGUUGGAAAGAUUUUUUUUGGUUGGGGAUGGACUCGCGGCCUAUCAGCUUGUUGGUGAGGUAGUGGCUCACCAAGGCUUCGACGGGUAGCCGGCCUGAGAGGGCGACCGGCCACAUUGGGACUGUGAUACGGCCCAAACUCCUACGGGAGGCAGCAGUGGGGAAUAUUGCACAAUGGACGGAAGUCUGAGGCAGCAACGCCGCGUGCGGGAUGACGGCCUUCGGGUUGUAAACCGCUUUCAAUUGUGACGAAGCUUUUUUGUGACGGUAGCAGAAGAAGAAGCACCGGCUAACUACGUG
rnacentral:rRNA from 1 species